GAUUUACUUAGUUAAUCCUCAACUCUGUGAAUUAGGAAUUAUCUGCAUGUUGCAGAUAAACUAAGUCUCCUCUCCUCAAUAGUGAACUUGAGUUUGAAGCCUAGCAAUCUGACUCCGGAGUCCGCGCUCUCGACACCUCCCUGAACAGACGUGGGAGCUGGGGGAGGGGAGUCAGGUUAGAGAAAAGAGGGGAUAUUAUGUGUCACCUGUGAGUAAAGGUUUCAUUAAGGAAGUUCAGUCUCCGCUCCCAGACCUGAACUCUAAAGAUCACAGUUCAAAAAUGCUCGAUCCUGCAGCAAACUUCAAAAGAUGAAUGAUCUCGUCAAGAUGGCACUGUGAGCAGACAUUGAACUUGCCUCCUCCCACGAACACAACCAGGUUACAACAAUUUUGGGAAGAAUCACCCUGGAUUGAAAACUGAAAACUGGAUAAAAAGAACCCCCACAACAAGGGACAGUCCUGACGAAAGCAGAAGAGGCAGUAACUCUGGCCAAAGAGGAAAAAAGCCACCAUUAGGAACAACGGAGCUUCUCAGCUGGCCAGGCGGGAGCCACCCUAAGGAAGAUUAGCCCUGAGCUAACAUUUGCUGCCAAUCCUCCUCUUUUUGCUGAGGAAGACUGGCCCUGAGCUAACAUCCAUGCCCAUCUUCCUCCAUUUUAUAUGUGGGACCCCUACCACAGCAUGGCUUGCCAAGCAGUGCGGUGUCCGCACCCAGGAUUCGAACCGGCAAACCCUGGGCUGCCGAAGUGGAACCUGUGAAUUUAACUGCGGUGCCACCAGCCCCUCCUUUUUUCUAUAUAAUCUUAGAAGACAUGUAUUUUCUCUAAUGUGGAUUUAACCUAUGUGACUGGGUUUAAAUAUUG
rnacentral:lncRNA from 1 species